UACGGGGGGUGCGAGCGUUGUCCGGAAUUAUUGGGCGUAAAGAGCUCGUAGGCGGUCUGUCACGUCGGCUGUGAAAUCCCGAGGCUCAACCUCGGGUCUGCAGUCGAUACGGGCAAACUAGAGUAUUGCAGGGGAGACUGGAAUUCCUGGUGUAGCGGUGAAAUGCGCAGAUAUCAGGAGGAACACCGGUGGCGAAGGCGGGUCUCUGGGCAAUAACUGACGCUGAGGAGCGAAAGCGUGGGGAGCGAACAGG
rnacentral:rRNA from 1 species